rnacentral:lncRNA from 1 species
UUUUUUCAUCUACUUCACUAUUUCAAAUACUUUUUCAAAUUGAAACACAAUACGCAUUGCUGGAUAUUAGAUUCCUAGCGAAAAUUUGAGCAAAACUUAGAAAAAUAACAUAAGGAUUUAACAAUUUAGUGAAUCAACACAAACAUAAUACAAUAAGGACUCGAAACUUACCUAAAUCAAACAAAGGAGGGCACUAAAGUGAGCCAAAUGAUGGCAGAAAACAGCAGCUAUAGUUGGACCUUGGUUCAGUUCCGAGCAACAAAAGAAACAAAGUAAUUUUCGACCCAGCUGAGCUUCUUCGAGCCUCAAAUUUGCCUUUCAAAAACCCUUGUAUAUGUUUAUGAGUUUUUCAUUUUUGCUCCUGAUUAUUGUUGCUAGGGAUUAAACCAUUAGGGUAGGGAGUCUGUUCUUU